UAAUUGAAGAGUUUGAUCAUGGCUCAGAUUGAACGCUGGCGGCAGGCCUAACACAUGCAAGUCGAGCGGCAGCACAGAGGAACUUGUUCCUUGGGUGGCGAGCGGCGGACGGGUGAGUAAUGCCUGGGAAAUUGCCCGGUAGAGGGGGAUAACCAUUGGAAACGAUGGCUAAUACCGCAUAACCUCGCAAGAGCAAAGCAGGGGACCUUCGGGCCUUGCGCUACCGGAUAUGCCCAGGUGGGAUUAGCUAGUUGGUGAGGUAAGGGCUCACCAAGGCGACGAUCCCUAGCUGGUCUGAGAGGAUGAUCAGCCACACUGGAACUGAGACACGGUCCAGACUCCUACGGGAGGCAGCAGUGGGGAAUAUUGCACAAUGGGCGCAAGCCUGAUGCAGCCAUGCCGCGUGUAUGAAGAAGGCCUUCGGGUUGUAAAGUACUUUCAGUAGGGAGGAAGGUGGUUAAGCUAAUACCUUAA
rnacentral:rRNA from 1 species